rnacentral:lncRNA from 1 species
GAACAUUCCAGGCUCUGUGAACUAAGUGACUGAAGCUGAUUGACACAGGUCAAGGGGACUUCAAGGAAGAAAGCCAGCCUUAGACUGACAUCAGAGAACCAAACUCCGGUGUCUAAGCUCAAGGGGCUUUUGAUGAGGAGACCAAAAGGCAGCUCUGAGCACAACCCACCCAAGAGCUUUCCUGAAUUAAUGAGCUAGCUACAGGCUCAAUGAGAAACCCUAUCUUAAAAUGCAAGAAUCCUAACUCUCUCUGAUGCCAGAUGCCCCACCUCCUAAUCCUGCCUCAGCUUAUUGACCAAUCAGCUUUUUAUGGACAGAGGUUAGAAUCCUGAGAACUGUUUGGAAUAAGGAAUCCAAAUAUUGUCUUCCAGCUUCACCUUGUCACGACAGUCCUCGCCAGGGACAGCUGAGCCUUGCGUGGAUGAAACAGUCCCAACGAACACUUUAAAAAGACAAAUGUUCCCGACAGCACUGGUUGAAUUCAAAACUCGGCAGAUCCAUGUUCUUAUCCUUAGACAAGAGAGGGGCCAUAACAAGAUGGAAUGACGGAACAGACGUGAGAGAUGAUGGUACAGUGACUCGGGUAACCCCAGAAAAGGGACAGCUCUUCUACAGCUCAGUGGGGACAGGGACAAAAAGAAACAAUUUCAUUUCAGUCCACCCAGAGGGUCUGCACUUCUCGGAGCCAGAAGGUGGAGAAGAGUAGGGAUGGAGGAAGUUCGAAGUUUUAGGAGUCUGCUCUUGGGUCCCUAGGCAUGAGGACAAGCUUUUCCUGUACUCAAUGCUCAUCUCUCAGUUGUGCCCACAUUGGUACACAUUACUUGCUUUCAACUGCUGCUGCUGCUGUUUCCUAAUUCAAUAAAGAUAUGGCUGGCUCA